AGAUGAAACCCAGCCUGCUCCUGCUGGGCUUGUAUAAAGCCAGGAAGUUUGGAGCAUACAGUCUACAGCUUUGGUCUGCACAGAGAGAGGAUGAUGGUGAUGACUGGCAAGUGGACAGCAGACAGUUGACUGGGAACCUAGUCCCUGUAGUGGCUGUCGAGCUCUGGACCUUCUACUGCUUCAAGAUGGAGUUAGCAGGAGGAACGCAGAACCUUGCUGAGAUGGAGCAGAUGGGAGAAACAUGAAGACAAAGAAUAGGAAGAAAGUUGCUUUUACUGAUCACAUUAUGAGUGUUUCAGGGGAUAAAAGGCAGCAGUAUUAAGGAAGCAGACUGUCUGUGCACCAAGGGACUGGCACUUGAAAGACUCAUCACACUAUUGCUACAAUAUUGUGCCAAGAAGCUGAGGCUGCAGGGCCAGGAGGACCCUUCAAGUACCAAUGCUAGGCACAAAGAUACUGUCCAUCCUCCUCAGCCAUCUGUUGACCUCCUGCAUACAAGAUCCUCCCCGCUCCCCGCCCCCAAUAGGCCCUGCUCAACAGCUUAUGUCUCCUUGGCUCAUGCUGUCUCUGGGUGCCUCUCAACAUGCCUUCAAGCCAUCAUGCCCCCUGUAACCUCGCCUGCCUCCCUCCCUCACCAAGAGUGUGCUCAGAGCACAGCAGGUGAGUCAAGGAUAAGGCCAACUUGAAAACUUUAAUGGAAAUGAAAAUUUGUGUAAAAAUAACAAACGUAUCCAGACAUGUUUGUUCUUGGUCUGUAUCCAGAUUAUGCAUGAAGUUGGGGCGGGGGGAGAGGGUAGGCUGGGAGCCUCAAAAAAUCAAAACAAAAAAACCCAUCCCCCAUGGAGCUGAGUAGUUCCGUUGGUUAAUCUGAUUUUCACCAAGGUUUUGAUGUAUAAAGGGGAAUAAUGUUUGUUGUACCUAGGGGAUAGGGCACUAGACUGGAACUCCAACUACUUAGGUUCUCUUCCUAACUCUGCUGCAUGAUCGUGGGCAAAUCACUUCACAUUCCUGUGCCUCGGUUUCCUUGUGGAAAAACAUUUUCCUCUUUUGCAAAGGGCUUUGAGAAGUUCAGCACAAAGCUGUUUAUUUUCAUUAUAUACUGAUAGUCUCAAACCAUGCUGCAAGUUCAGUACUUGCUUAAGUGCUUUGCUGAAAAGGGGCCUAAGGUCCUGAUAGCCCAUUAAAGUCAGUGAAAAGACUCCAAUUAAUUUCUGUGGACUCUGGAUCAGGCCCCAAGACUUAACACCUCAUUAAGUCUGGAGUUCCUACUAAAGGCUCAAUAUUACAUCUGUAGACUGCAGUACAUGAAAGAGAUUGGGAACAAAUGUGAAACUAUGUGUGUCAAUAUAUAAACCUGCCUUUCUUCAGUAUGUAUUUAUGUAGAGCUGAUAGAUUAUUGUUCACCUAUGUACAGUGCUUUAAGUGUUCUAGGCACUUUACAGAACAAAUAGAAAGAUGUAUUCUUGGACCUUGAGGCACUUACAGUCUAAUGUUAAAUGUGACACAAUGAGUAGGAUAACAGACAGGGAGGGGUGGAGAGUAGGAAAAGAAUUACUGCAAUAAGAUCGUGUGAUUGCUUAGUUUAGGCAAAUGGACAUCUCAAUAUUUUAAUUACAGGUUUCAUUUUAUGGCUUUUUAAAUAGCUUUGUUCCCAACGGGCAAAAAGAUGACUUACGUGAGUAAGGCAUCGCAGGCUUGUCCCCCUAGAAAAGAAGUGGUGCAGGUCAGGAUUGCAGAGAACUCAACUGCAUGGUGAGUGCCAUUAUUAUUCCUGGAUUUAGUGUGCAUUAUCAGGACUAGUGCUCGUUUCAUUAAAAAUGAAUGGCUACAAAUACCAAACUAUCUGUCACAGAUAACCUUAUCCUAACACACUUCAUAUUAAAACCUGGGUGGAUCGCUCAUAAAAAAGUAAAUAAAGGAUCAAGUGCUGUUAACUUUUUGAAGAAAGCUGCAUUUCAAUAAAUUAACUCCUCUGUUUACUUCUUUGAUCUACUUUUCUAAUCAGUGCUAUUGAUUAUCUACUUUCCCUUCUGAGCAACAAGCAAGAGACUGUG